rnacentral:rRNA from 1 species
UACGAAGGGGGCUAGCGUUGCUCGGAAUCACUGGGCGUAAAGGGUGCGUAGGCGGGUCUUUAAGUCAGGGGUGAAAUCCAUGGAGCUCAACUCCAGAACUGCCUUUGAUACUGAGGAUCUUGAGUUCGGGAGAGGUGAGUGGAACUGCGAGUGUAGAGGUGAAAAUUCGUAGAUAUUCGCAAGAACACCAGUGGCGAAGGCGGCUCACUGG